CCUACGGGGGACAGCAGUGAGGAAUAUUGGUCAAUGGACGAGAGUCUGAACCAGCCAAGUAGCGUGAAGGAUGACUGCCCUAUGGGUUGUAAACUUCUUUUAUAUGGGAAUAAAAUGUUCCACGUGUGGGAUUUUGUAUGUACCAUAUGAAUAAGGAUCGGCUAACUCCGUGCCAGCAGCCGCGGUAAUACGGAGGAUCCGAGCGUUAUCCGGAUUUAUUGGGUUUAAAGGGAGCGUAGGUGGAUUGUUAAGUCAGUUGUGAAAGUUUGCGGCUCAACCGUAAAAUUGCAGUUGAAACUGGCAGUCUGGAGUACAGUAGAGGUGGGCGGAAUUCGUGGUGUAGCGGUGAAAUGCUUAGAUAUCACGAAGAACUCCGAUUGCGAAGGCAGCUCACUGGACUGCAACUGACACUGAGGCGCGAAAGUGUGGGUAUCAAACAGGAUUAGAUACCCCAGUAGUC
rnacentral:rRNA from 1 species